UGGGAACAGUGGGAGCAAGUUGUUGUCAUGCUGUCCGCUCCCAUUUGUCAUAAUAUAUCAAUCUAUCUACCUACCAAAAAGUAUCCCACCAGCCUAUUGUGAUGUUACUCUAGCAGCAUCUUUAAUGGCACCUGCAAAGUCCUGUCCCUCUUGGACUUGCCCCAACCUGCUGUGUGAGCCAAGCCACAGCCAGUGCCAUCGGGACCCCGUGCGAGCAAGAUCUGCUGGGCCAGCGAUCUGCGCACAGAGAGAACACACGCACGCAGCUGAUGACUGACAACAGUGGCGAAACUUUGCAAAGCUCAGGAAAGCGUGACUCCUGGUUGGGGCAAUGGUACUGCAGGCUCCUGGGACAUGACCCCACCUACUUCCAGACAGAAUUGUAAAGUGCAGUUGCAAUCACCCCGUCUGUGUGCACAGAAAUCUGAGAGGCUGUGGCUGAAAAUGUGGUUGCAGUAAUUAUCAAAAGCAGAUCUAACGUUACAUCUCCUGCUCUCCAUAUCCAUAGACUGGGAGCAAAAUUUGGCAAGACUCAAGAAAUCCCACCCAGCUCUGGGGUACAAUAUACCUUCGCCCUGUGAGGUUUUUGUUAUUUUUCUGUAUAAAAUAAAUACAAGCACUAGAGAGA